UUUUCUUUUAAUUUUUAAUUUUGUUUUUUUAGAUGGAAUUGUAAUUUUGUUAAGUUAGAUUUUUAGAUUUCUAAUUUUGUUAAGUUAGAUUUUUAGAUUUCUAGUUAGUUUGUUAAGUUAGAUUUGUAGUUAGGUUGUUAACUACCGUCCCGCCGUCGUGAUCGCCGCCGUCCCGCCGAGUAGCUACCGUGAGAGUCGCCUUGUAGCCGUCGUGAUCGCCGCCGAGUAGCCGCCGUGAUCGCCGCCGUCCUGCCGCCCAUCACAACGUAGUAGCUUAGGCACCGCCCGUGGUUCCGGUGAACCGCCUCCGCCGCCCUGACCGCCGCCGUCCCGCCUCCGCCGCCCUUAUCGCCGCCGUAGAAAUUCGUAGAAAUUCGUAGAAAUUCGUCAAAAUUCGUAGAAAUUCGUCAAAAUUCGUAGAAAUUCGUAGAAAUUUGUAGAAAUUCGUAGAAAUUCAUAGAAAUUCGUAGAAAUUUAUAGAAAUUCGUAGAAAUUCGUAGAAAUUCAUAGAAAUUCAUAGAAAUUCAUAGAAAUUCGUAGAAAUUCAUAGAAAUUCGUAGAAAUUCAUAGAAAUUCGUAGAAAUUCAUAGAAAUUCGUAGAAAUUCAUAGAAAUUCGUAGAAAU
rnacentral:lncRNA from 1 species